rnacentral:rRNA from 1 species
AUUGAACGCUGGCGGCAUGCCUUACACAUGCAAGUCGAACGGCAGCACGGGUGCUUGCACCUGGUGGCGAGUGGCGAACGGGUGAGUAAUACAUCGGAACAUGUCCUGUAGUGGGGGAUAGCCCGGCGAAAGCCGGAUUAAUACCGCAUACGAUCUACGGAUGAAAGCGGGGGACCUUCGGGCCUCGCGCUAUAGGGUUGGCCGAUGGCUGAUUAGCUAGUUGGUGGGGUAAAGGCCUACCAAGGCGACGAUCAGUAGCUGGUCUGAGAGGACGACCAGCCACACUGGGACUGAGACACGGCCCAGACUCCUACGGGAGGCAGCAGUGGGGAAUUUUGGACAAUGGGCGGAAGCCUGAUCCAGCAAUGCCGCGUGUGUGAAGAAGGCCUUCGGGUUGUAAAGCACUUUUGUCCGGAAAGAAAUCCUUGGCCCUAAUACGGUCGGGGGAUGACGGUACCGGAAGAAUAAGCACCGGCUAACUACGUG